rnacentral:rRNA from 1 species
CACGCCGCGUGAGUGAUGAAGGUUUUCGGAUCGUAAAGCUCUGUUGUUAGGGAAGAACAAGUGCAAGAGUAACUGCUUGCACCUUGACGGUACCUAACCAGAAAGCCACGGCUAACUACGUGCCAGCAGCCGCGGUAAUACGUACGUGGCAAGCGUUGUCCGGAAUUAUUGGGCGUAAAGGGCUCGCACGCGGUUUCUUAACUCUGAUGUGAAAGCCCCCGGCUCAACCGGGGAGGGUC